AGUUACGAUGACUUAGACCCAGACGAAAAAGAAAUAUUCCUUGAUGUAGCAUGCUUCUUCAAAUGGUGGGAUAAAAAUAGAGCAAUAAGUAUAUUAGAAGGUUGUGGAUUUUUUGCAAAAUGUGGAAUAAGUCGCCUCAUUGAUAAGUCUCUCAUCAGCAUUUCGAAGAGAAAUAGGUUGGAGAUGCAUGACUUAGUACAACAAAUGGGUAAAGAUAUUGUUGGUGAGGAGAAAGAGAUUGGAAAACGAAGCAGAUUGUAUAAAUCUAAGGAUAUAUACAAAGUUUUGACAAAAGAUAUGGGGACUGAAAAAGUUGAAAGCAUUUCAGCAAACAUGAACGAGAUUGGAUUUAUGGAACUAAGUUCUACAGCUUUCGUGAAAAUGCGUAAUCUCAGAUUACUCAAAUUCUACUCUUUUGGGCAUGAUCAAGUCAAAGUAGUCCUUACUAAACGCCUUAAAUCUCUCCCCCAAGAGCUGAGAUAUUUGGAAUGGCCAAAAUAUCCUUUGAAAUCUUUGCCAUCA
rnacentral:misc_RNA from 1 species